UUGAAUGUACUCUUUCAUGAGGACAGCUUGUGCUGUGGCCCACUGAUGAUGUGAUGGAUCGAUGCUGGCCCUGCACCCCAGGGUGCUGGACGACCCCCUGCCUAUGGCACCAAUGACUGCGUGCUCGUCACAGGGUCAGUGGGUU